rnacentral:rRNA from 1 species
AUUGAACGCUGGCGGCAUGCUUUACACAUGCAAGUCGAACGGCAGCGCGGGCUUCGGCCUGGCGGCGAGUGGCGAACGGGUGAGUAAUGCAUCGGAACGUGCCCAGUAGUGGGGGAUAGCCCGGCUAAAGCCGGAUUAAUACCGCAUACGACCUGAGGGUGAAAGCGGUGGACCGAAAGGCCUCGCGCUAUUUGAUCGGCCCAUGGCGGAUUAGCUAGUUGGUGGGGUAAAGGCUUACCAAGGCGACGAUCCGUAGCUGGUCUGAGAGGACGACCAGCCACACUGGGACUGAGACACGGCCCAGACUCCUACGGGAGGCAGCAGUGGGGAAUUUUGGACAAUGGGGGAAAGCCUGAUCCAGCAAUGCCGCGUGAGGGAAGAAGGCCUUCGGGUUGUAAACCGCUUUUGUUAGGGAAGAAAUCCUCUGGGCUAAUACCCCGGGGGGAUGACGGUACCGGAAGAAUAAGCACCGGCUAACUACGUG